UACGGAGGGUGCAAGCGUUAUCCGGAUUCACUGGGUUUAAAGGGUGCGUAGGCGGGCAGGUAAGUCAGUGGUGAAAUCUCCGAGCUUAACUCGGAGGCUGCCAUUGAUACUAUUUGUCUUGAAUAUUGUGGAGGUAAGCGGAAUAUGUCAUGUAGCGGUGAAAUGCUUAGAUAUGACAUAGAACACCAAUUGCGAAGGCAGCUUACUACACAAUGAUUGACGCUGAGGCACGAAAGCGUGGGGAUCAAACAGG
rnacentral:rRNA from 1 species